UACGUAGGGGGCAAGCGUUGUCCGGAAUCAUUGGGCGUAAAGCGCAUGUAGGCGGCUUGUUAAGUCGCGUGUGAAAGCUCCAGGCUCAACCUGGAAAGUGCGCGCGAAACUGGCGAGCUUGAGUGCCAGAGAGGGUGGCGGAAUUCCCGGUGUAGAGGUGAAAUUCGUAGAUAUCGGGAGGAACACCAGAGGCGAAGGCGGCCACCUGGACGGACACUGACGCUGAGACGCGAAAGCGUGGGGAGCGAACAGG
rnacentral:rRNA from 1 species